rnacentral:rRNA from 1 species
AUCCGGGAGGACCAUCUCCCAAGGCUAAAUACUCCCUAGUGACCGAUAGUGAACCAGUACCGUGAGGGAAAGGUGAAAAGCACCCCGGAAGGGGAGUGAAACAGUUCCUGAAACCGUGUGCCUACAAGUAGUUAGAGCCCGUUAAUGGGUGAUAGCGUGCCUUUUGUAGAAUGAACCGGCGAGUUACGAUUUGUUGCAAGGUUAAGCGGAAAAAGCGGAGCCGUAGCGAAAGCGAG